GCAAGUCGAACGAGAAAGUUCCUGCUUGCAGGAGCGAGUAUAGUGGGGCACGGGUGAGUAACACGUUGGUAAUCUACCUUCAAAUUUGGAAUAACUAUUCGAAAGGGUAGCUAAUACCGAAUAUAAUUUUUAUAUCUUUGGAUGUAAGAAUGAAAGACAGCCUCUGAUUUAAGCUGUUGUUUGGAGAUGAGUCCGCGUACCAUUAGCUAGCUGGUGGGGUAAAGGCCUACCAGGGCGACGAUGGUUAGCUGGUCUGAGAGGAUGAUC
rnacentral:rRNA from 1 species